rnacentral:misc_RNA from 1 species
AAGUCGUAACAAGGUCUCCGUUGGUGAACCAGCGGAGGGAUCAUUACUGGACUCGCAAGACUCCUAUACCCUGUGAAUCUUACCUAAAAACGCGUUGCUUCGGCGGGUGCCCCGGUCUCCGGGGCGCCGUGCCCGCCGGCAGCACACCACUCUGUUUCUUGCGUUGGCAUCUCCGAGUGAUACAAAAUAAGUCAAAACUUUCAACAACGGAUCUCUUGGUUCUG